AGUCGUAACAAGGUAUCCGUAGGUGAACCUGCGGAUGGAUCAUUAACAAAGGUGUUUUUGAAGUUAUGUGAACAGUUUUGGUGGUUGUGGGAGUGGUGGAUGGUUGUGGGGGGAGGUGGAAGUGGUUGGGGUGGUGGGAGUGGUUAGAUCAAAUCAAACCACACCAAACACACCACACCACACCAAUCACACCCCACUCUCCUCACCCACAUCACCACUCCCAACUUUAAUGUACAAACUGAUGUCUGCCUAGUUUUCUAAACUAAAACAACUUUUAGCAACGGAUCUCUUGGCUCUC
rnacentral:misc_RNA from 1 species